rnacentral:rRNA from 1 species
UACGGAGGAUCCAAGCGUUAUCCGGAAUCAUUGGGUUUAAAGGGUCCGUAGGCGGCCCGGUAAGUCAGUGGUGAAAUCUCCCCGCUCAACGGGGAAACUGCCAUUGAUACUGCCGGGCUUGAAUUACUAGGAAGUAACUAGAAUAUGUAGUGUAGCGGUGAAAUGCUUAGAGAUUACAUGGAAUACCGAUUGCGAAGGCAGGUUACUACUGGUGGAUUGACGCUGAUGGACGAAAGCGUGGGUAGCGAACAGG